rnacentral:rRNA from 1 species
UAGGGAAUAUUAGAAAUGGACGAAAGUCUGAUCUAGCAACACCGCGUGUGCGAAGAAGGCCUUCGGGUCGUAAAGCACUUUUUGGAAGGAAUAGGAAGGAAUGUACUUCCAGAAUAAGUCUCGGCUAACUACGUGCCAGCAGCCGCGGUAACACGUAGGAGGCAAACGUUAUCCGGAUUUACUGGGCGUAAAGCGCGUGUAGGUGGUUCUGUAAGUAGGGCGUGAAAGCUCCCGGCUCAACUGGAGAGGCCGUUCUAAACUGCAGAACUAGAGGAUGGUAGAGGGAGGUGGAAUUUCAGGUGUAGCGGUGGAAUGCGCAGAUAUCUGAAGGAACACCAGUGGCGAAAGCGGCCUCCUGGACCAUUCCUGACACUCAGACGCGAAAGCUAGGGUAGCAAACG